GAUGAACGCUGGCGGCGUGCCUAACACAUGCAAGUCGAACGAAGCUUGACGGAUGAUUUCUUCGGAAUGAAACCAGAUAUGACUUAGUGGCGGACGGGUGAGUAACACGUGAGCAACCUGCCUUUCAGAGGGGGAUAACGGCUGGAAACGGUCGCUAAUACCGCAUGAUGUGUUCGGAUGGCAUCAUCUGAACAUCAAAGAUUUAUCGCUGAAAGAUGGGCUCGCGUCUGAUUAGAUAGUUGGUGGGGUAACGGCCUACCAAGUCUACGAUCAGUAGCCGGACUGAGAGGUUGAACGGCCACAUUGGGACUGAGAUACGGCCCAGACUCCUACGGGAGGCAGCAGUGGGGAAUAUUGCACAAUGGGGGAAACCCUGAUGCAGCAACGCCGCGUGAAGGAUGACGGUUUUCGGAUUGUAAACUUCUUUUCUUAGUGACGAGGACAGUGACGGUAGCUAAGGAAUAAGCAUCGGCUAACUACGU
rnacentral:rRNA from 1 species